CAGUAGCCGCGGUAAUACGGAGGGUGCAAGCGUUAAUCGGAAUUACUGGGCGUAAAGCGCACGCAGGCGGUUUGUUAAGUCAGAUGUGAAAUCCCCGAGCUUAACUUGGGAACUGCAUUUGAAACUGGCAAGCUAGAGUCUUGUAGAGGGGGGUAGAAUUCCAGGUGUAGCGGUGAAAUGCGUAGAGAUCUGGAGGAAUACCGGUGGCGAAGGCGGCCCCCUGGACAAAGACUGACGCUCAGGUGCGAAAGCGUGGGGAGCAAACAGGAUUAGAGACCCGUGUAGUCCCUGUCUCUUAUAC
rnacentral:rRNA from 1 species